rnacentral:rRNA from 1 species
GAAUCUUCGGCAAUGGACGCAAGUCUGACCGAGCAACGCCGCGUGAGUGAAGAAGGCCUUCGGGUCGUAAAACUCUGUUGCCAGAGAAGAACGCUUCGUGGAGUAACUGCCACGGAGGUGACGGUAUCUGAGAAGAAAGCCCCGGCUAACUACGUGCCAGCAGCCGCGGUAAUACGUAGGGGGCAAGCGUUGUCCGGAAUUAUUGGGCGUAAAGCGCGCGCAGGCGGUUGUUUAAGUCUGGGGUUUAAGUUCGGGGCUCAACCCCGUAUCGCCCUGGAAACUGGGGAACUGGAGUGCAGGAGAGGAAAGUAGAAUUCCACGUGUAGCGGUGAAAUGCGUAGAGAUGUGGAGGAACACCAGUGGCGAAGGCGACUUUCUGGCCUGUAACUGACGCUGAGGCGCGAAAGCGUGGGGAGCAAAC